AACGAACGCUGGCGGCAGGCCUAACACAUGCCAGUCGAGCGCCCAGUCGGGGGAGCGGCGGCCGGGUGAGUAGCGCGGGGGAAGAUGCCCUUCUCUACGGAAUAGCCUCGGGAAACUGAGAGUAAUACCGUAUACGCCCUGUGGGGGAAAGAUUUAUCGGGGAAGGAUUAGCCCGCGUGGGAUUAGGUAUUUGGUGGGGUAAUGGCCUACCAUGCCGACGAUCCAUAGCUGGUGUGAGAGGAUGAUCAGCCACACUUGGAAUGAGAAACGGCACAGACUCCUACGCGAGGCAGGAGUGGGUAAUGCUAGAAAAUGGCGGCAACAAUGAUAUAGCCAGGCCGCGUGAGUGCUGAAGGAAUUAGGGUUGUAAAGUUCUAUUAGCUGGGAAGAUCAUGACGGUACCAGAAGAAGAAGCCCCGGCUAACUCCGUG
rnacentral:rRNA from 1 species